GGGUGUUGAGGGUGAUCUGGCUGUGACAUCUGUCACCCCAUUGAUUGCCAGGGUUGAUUGGGCUGAUCUGGCUGGCUAGGCUGGUGUUCCCUUCCUCCCUCACCGCUCCAUGUGCGCCCCUCCCGAAGCUAUGCUCUUGGUUGAAGAAGACGACUUUCCCCCAAUGGAGGAGGAAGGGGUCUUCCAUCCAGGGUACAUGAGUAGCUGUGCUCCCCUGCUAGAACCUCCAAAAGGAGGGGACUGAAAAGGGCUGGGCAACUAAACUAUAAAAUGAUAAAACU
rnacentral:snRNA from 1 species